rnacentral:rRNA from 1 species
CCUACGGGAGGCAGCAGUCAAGAAUCAUUCACAAUGGGGGAAACCCUGAUGGUGCGACGCCGCGUGGGGGAAUGAAGGUCUUCGGAUUGUAAACCCCUGUCAUGUGGGAGCAAAUUAAAAAGAUAGUACCACAAGAGGAAGAGACGGCUAACUCUGUGCCAGCAGCCGCGGUAAUACAGAGGUCUCAAGCGUUGUUCGGAAUCACUGGGCGUAAAGCGUGCGUAGGCUGUUUCGUAAGUCGUGUGUGAAAGGCGCGGGCUCAACCCGCGGACGGCACAUGAUACUGCGAGACGAGAGUAAGGGAGGGGGAACCGGAAUUCUCGGUGUAGCAGUGAAAUGCGUAGAUAUCGAGAGGAACACUCGUGGCGAAGGCGGGUUCCUGGACAUUAACUGACGCUGAGGCACGAAGGCCAGGGGAGCGAAAGGGAUUAGAUACCCUUGUAGUC